rnacentral:rRNA from 1 species
UACGUAGGGUGCAGGCGUUAAUCGGAAUUACUGGGCGUAAAGCGUGCGCAGGCGGUUUUGUAAGCCAGAUGUGAAAGCCCCGGGCUUAACCUGGGAAUGGCAUUUGGGACUGCAAGGCUGGAGUACGGCAGAGGGAGGUGGAAUUCCAGGUGUAGCAGUGAAAUGCGUAGAUAUCUGGAGGAACACCGAUGGCGAAGGCAGCCUCCUGGGCUAGUACUGACGCUCAUGCACGAAAGCGUGGGGAGCAAACAGG